GUGCUUGCUUUGGCAGCACAUAUACUAAAAUUUGAAUGAUACAGAGAAGAUUUUCAUGACCCCUGCUGAAGAAUGAUGUGCAAAUUUGUGAAGUGUGCCAUAUGUAG
ensembl:snRNA U6 U6 spliceosomal RNA